rnacentral:tRNA from 1 species
CGGCCUGUAGCUCAGGUGGUCAGAGCGCCGGUCUUACAAACCGGGCGUCGCAGGUUCGACUCCUGCCGGGCCGACCA